rnacentral:tRNA from 1 species
GGUUCCGUAGCUCAGUCGGUAGAGCAGAGGACUGAAAAUCCUCGUGUCGGUGGUUCGAUUCCGCCUGGAACCACCA